rnacentral:rRNA from 1 species
CACGUAGGGCGCAAGCGUUGUCCGGAAUUAUUGGGCGUAAAGAGCUCGUAGGCGGUCUGUUACGUCUGCUGUGAAAACCCGGGGCUUAACCCUGGGCUUGCAGUGGAUACGGGCAGACUAGAGGCAGGUAGGGGAGAAUGGAAUUCCCGGUGUAGCGGUGAAAUGCGCAGAUAUCGGGAGGAACACCGGUGGCGAAGGCGGCCCUCUGGACGGUGACUGACGCUGAGACGCGAAAGCGUGGGGAGCAAACAGG